UUAAACUACGGUAACUAACCUGUGGGGUAAUUACAUUUUAACAUGAUGAUAAUUACAUAAUUAACUAUGAAUAUAGUAUUUUUCUCCUUAACCUCAGAUAUCUUUCGUGUCACGGUGAAAUCUGUGAACAACAAUAAUAACUGUAGCAUACAGGUACAGAGAGACAUAAAUAAAUGACAGAUUGUCCUUUCGAGCCUAACAAAUGAUUCAAUAACAAUUGAUAAAACAUAUCGAGCUACAUAUAAUAUUUUUUUCAAUCAAAGAAACCCAAGUGGAAAAGUAACGACCAAAUUAAAGAACCUUCUAGAAGCUACGAAGGUAACAGAAAUUUACGCAAAUAUUAAUGGCGACUUGG
rnacentral:lncRNA from 1 species